CCUGGUGCUCAUGGCGCAGUGGACCCACGCUCAUCCAUCUCGAACUGAGUGGUGAAACGCUGCUGCGGCGAAGAUAGUUGGAGGGUAGCCUCCUGCAAAAAUAGCUCAGUGCCAGGA
rnacentral:rRNA from 1 species